UACGUAGGGUGCAAGCGUUGUCCGGAAUUAUUGGGCGUAAAGAGCUCGUAGGCGGUUUGUCGCGUCUGCUGUGAAAACUCAGGGCUUAACCCUGAGCUUGCAGUGGGUACGGCAGACUAGAGUGCGGUAGGGGAGACUGGAAUUCCUGGUGUAGCGGUGAAAUGCGCAGAUAUCAGGGAGGGAACACCCGGGUGGCGAAGGCGGGUCUCUGGGCCGUAACUGACG
rnacentral:rRNA from 1 species